AACUCAAGAGUCUUCAGAGAUAUGUUCAGUUCCAAAUUUUUAUUUUGUUUUUAUUUUUAUUAGGCAUUCAGAAUUGUAGGAGGAAUAUUGAAGUUUCCUGUCACUAUCGUAUUACUGUCUAUGUCUUCCUGAAACUCAGACAAAGUUUCCUUCAUGAAUUUGGAUGAUACCCAGCUCUUAACUAUGGUUCCAAGAUGGUGUAGCAUACACAGUGGCCAUCCCCGAGUGAAUCAUGGUGGCAGGCUUGACUACUCCCUUGAUCUGAAGAGUAGAUAACUUGUCCAUGGUGACAGAACCAAUAUGUGUCAGAGGAAGAAUAUGAAACAAGGACUUGCUGAUUCCAAUGCAGGAUCUCUCCUCAUCUGUCUACAAUACCUUCUUUUGGUCUAUAACAGGUU
rnacentral:lncRNA from 1 species